GGGAGUAUAGCUCAGUGGUAGAGCACGUGCAUAGCAUGCACAAGGUCCUGGGUUCAAUCCCCAGUACCGCCA
rnacentral:tRNA from 1 species